UUGAAAGGGAAACGAUUGAAGUCAGUCGUACCGACGGGAAUUCAACUUCUCGAGUGCUAAUCGUGGGUGACGUUGAGCCUCACGGCCUUCGUUGCUUGUGUUGUUGGUGCUUUUGGGGUGUACUUUUCCGUAUUGGUAGGUCAGCAUCGAUUUCGAUCGUCAUAAAAUGAUCGGGGGAAUGUAGCUUCGGUCUCGUAUCGGAGUGUUAUAGACCUUGGUAGAUGUGACGAUUGGGAUCGAGGAUUGCAACGAAUACCCUCUGGGCUAUCCGUCUGACCUCUGAAAGUCGCUCGGGUGUCGAAAGC
rnacentral:rRNA from 1 species